rnacentral:rRNA from 1 species
AUGGCGUCGGCGUCGGCGUCGGCGGCUUUGGAGAAGGCUCGGCAGCUGCUGGAGGAGGCGGCGGCCGAGUCGCUGCCGACGGAGCAGGUGGACGCGCUGCCCUCCGGGUUCUACGACGCCUUCCUGCUCUGCGGCAUCCGCGUCCACGCCGUCGAGCCCGGCCGUCUCCUCUGCCACUUCACCGUCCCCGCCCGCCUCCUCAACUCGGGCAACUUCCUGCACGGCGGCGCGACCGCGUCGCUGGUUGACUUGGUGGGUACUGCUGUCUUCUACACGGCCGGGGCACAAACCGGCUCACCACUAGAGAUGAACAUCUCAUACUUGGAUGCUGCAUUUUCGGAUGAAGAGAUUGAUAUCGAGGCCAAGGUUCUGCGUGCUGGAAAAGCAGUAGGAGUGGCCACUGUGGAACUGAAGAAGAAAUCUGGCAAAAUCAUCGCUCAAGCCCGCUAUUCCAAGUAUCUUGGCGCAUCUAGUAAACUGUGA